CAUGUUGUACAUGAAAGAAGAAUGUACUUUUGUAAAAUUUAAAAUGUAACACUUGUAAUGAUGAAACAAUAAAGUGCAUUAAAAACUUUUAUAUUUGCUUUAUUAGAGUUUAGAUAAGAAUAUUAAAAUAAUAUAUCAAUACUAAUAAUAGUUUCGAUUACAAGAAAGAAGGAUAAUAUUUACGCUAAAAUAUAAAUUUCGGGUUUUCGGGCCGGCCCUAGCCCAAACGGACUUAAGCCCAAAAUACCCAAAGCCCAAAUGGGCUUUGCCCGAAAGGCCUAAUUUUUUUUGGGCUUAUAAAGCUAAGCCCAAGCCCGGUAAUUUUUAGGGCUGGGCGGGCUCGGGCUACGGGCUUUGGCCCUAAUUGACAUGUCUAUAUAUCUAUAUAUAUAAAGGAGACUUACCUCUCUUCUCCUGUGUCCACGUCAGCAAGAGCACAAGGGCAAAAGACUCCACGUGUGAUCACUUUAAUUUUAAGUAUUUCACGCCUUUGUUAGUCACAAGUUACAUCUAUUAAAAAACUAUUCUAUGUUUUAAUUAGGGUUUGCUUCGUCUUAGCGCUGCAGGCUGUGCCGUAUCUCUUCACAUCUCUCCGCCUCCACCUUCAUCUAUGUAACACUUCAGUUAUGUAUACAUUAGUCCAAGCGUUACGUCUUUUGCUCAGCUACUCCCACUCUCUCGAAAUAAAUCAGCAUUAACAUCCUCCAACGUAACCGACUGAAGCUUCGCUAAUAAAUCUCUUCGUUGCUUGAGAUGAAUAGUCCCACCGAACAAAAUCCCAUAAGUCAUUCUCUAAGAAGAAAUAGGAGCUACUUCAUUGAAUCAUGCAGCACUAACAAGGGGAAUCGAGUUGCUAAAAAAUUGCUGUCCAAAGCUUGAUGUUUUUGAUGGUGCCUUGCUGCUGAUAUUGGAGAUCUUGAGUUAAUCAACUGUUUACUUAAAGCUGGAGGUGAUCUUAAUCAGAAAGACGAGAUUGGACAUUUGUUGGAGUUCUCGCUCACAUGGAAUCAAAUAAGAACAAUAGUGAAACUCAAGAAAGUCAAAAUCUGGAGAGACGGUGAUGCCUUCAGGUUUGUUUGAAACCCUCAUGAUGUUUUUUAUCAUUUUUUUUCAGUAUAAUUGAAGUGUUUUUUUCUUUCUUAUACACAGAAGCUGUAGAUGCUCGAAAAAGUUUCAAGACAAAGGACAAAAUUAAGUCCAAGGGGGGUGUCCGCGCUCCGCGCGGAAUAUUGUUUUAUUAUUGCUAAGAGCAUGAUUUUUUUUGGAUAAUGUAAUUAUGUUAUCGUUUUUAUUUGUUAAGAUCAUUAUUUGAUGUUUUUAGUUUGUUAUGUAGUAGGUGAUAAGUUAAUAUAUUUUGCGUUUUUUUUUUAAUAAUGUGUUGUUGUGUGUAUAGUACUUCUUAGUAGUCAAAUGAGCCUCUAACGUAAACUAAUAUUGAAUUUCAAUAACUUUGCAUCUACGCAUUUGUUGAUUCUAAGAUUAACGGUUUCAUCGUCAAAAUUGUAUUAUAUUUUUUUCAUAUUUUUGAAAAUUAUAAUUUUUAAGAUGUUUUUUGCCCUUUCCCCAUAUUUUAAACUUGAGCCCUC